rnacentral:rRNA from 1 species
AUUGAACGCUGGCGGCAGGCCUAACACAUGCAAGUCGAGCGAGCGGCGGACGGGUGAGUAAUGCCUGGGAAUUGCCCAGUCGAGGGGGAUAACAGUUGGAAACGACUGCUAAUACCGCAUACGAUCGUAUUGCCAAGGGGGGAUUAGCUAGUUGUUGAGGUGAUGGCUAACCAAGGCGACGAUCCCUAGCUGGUCUGAGAGGAUGUUCAGCCACGGUGGAACUGAGACACGGUCGAGACUCCUACGGAAGGCAGCAGUGGGUAAUAUUGCACAAUGGGGGAAACCCUGAUGCAGCCAUGCCGCGUGUGGGAAGAAGGCCUUAGGGUUGUAAAGCACUUACAGCGAGGAGGCGUUACUCGCAGGAGAAGCACCGGCUAAGUCCGUGCCAGCAGCCGCGGUAAUUC